ACAAAAUACAGUAAAGAAAAUAACAAGCAUCCAAAAAAAAACAAAAACCUAAAUAACCCCUAAUUCCUAACCCAUAAUGAAACUAGCAAUAAAAAGUCAUCCUAAAAGCCCAAACGCACUCACUUUAAUUCCUAUGCCUAGUUUCUAAAACGAGUGUCUUCUCCUGCUUUAAAGACCAAACGUCUGUAUUCCAUUCCCAAGACUCUCCAUUAUGCAAACAGAACUUUUAAUUUUUUUUAAUCGGUUAGGGUUCCCGAAGCUUCCUCCCCCCAGACCUACCCAGUCCUCUUCCGUCAUAUUCAAUCACCCUUGCCGCCGCUACUGGCAGCCAAUCAUCCAGAUCGAAUCAUAAAUACAUUUCCUCAGCAUGAGGUAGUGAAGCUUGAUGAGGGAACCUUUGUUUAGUGGAAACAACAGGUUCGUUUGAUUGUGGCUGGUUGCGAUUUGAUCGGUUUUCUUGAUGGUACUCUUUCGGCUCCAACGAGGUUCAUGCAAGCACCUGACGGUGCUCUUGUGCUUAAUUCGACCGCUUCGGCUUUUCAACAGCAGGAUCAUCUUCUAACAUCGUAGCUGCUCUCCACGGUUAGCUCCUCUUUCUUGUCUUCUUUUACAGAUGUACACACAGUUGCUGAUGUGUGGAUGACGGUGAGUGCAUUGUUUGCGGCCGCUACGGAUGCGAAGCAGUCCUGUUUACGUCAUGAGUUACAUUCUCUCAAGAAAGGGAAUCUCUAGAGUUGGGACUAUGUUGCGAAAUUGAAAGGGCUGUGUGCUCUCUUGGAAGCGUCUGGCACUCCAAUUUCGGCGGCAGAGCGAACGGUAGUUUUGCUUGUGGGUCUGCCCUUUAAGUUUGACGUCGUGGUGUCUUCGACAUCUCUGUCUCUGACUCCCUUGCCUCUUCAACGACUUGUUGAUGCCCUUGUUGAGUGUGAAAAUCAUCAGGCGCGGGCGGUUCAGGAGAUUGUUUUUCUUGCAAAUCUGGUGGAAGGCUCUUCGUCGUAGGCUUUGGACGGAUCUACUCGUGGUGGUCGUUUGUUCUCGCGUGGUCGUGGGAGGAGUUUUCGACCUCGUCUCCAGUGUCAAAUUUGUUCGAGGUUCGGCCAUGUCACCCAACGAUGUUAUUAUUGUUAUCAUCGAUGUCGAAACCAUUUUUUUUUUUAAAAAAUGGGGUCAACUUUGAAAAUGAAAAUGGGGGUCGUCAUCGAUCUUUUAUUAAGGUGUGUUCAGUUCACCAUUAAAAAUAAAUUUUAGGUCUGCGAGAUUUAAGAAAA